UGGUCUUGACAUCCCCGAGAAUAACUAAGAAAUUAGUAGGUGCCUCUUUACGGAGGAACUCGGUGAC
rnacentral:rRNA from 1 species